rnacentral:rRNA from 1 species
GUAGGUGGCAAGCGUUGUUCGGAAUUAUUGGGGCGUAAAGCGCGCGCAGGCGGUUCUUUAAGUCUGAUGUGAAAGCCCACGGGCUCAACCGUGGAGGGUCAUUGGAAACUGGAGAACUUGAGUACAGAAGAGGAAAGCGGAAUUCCACGUGUAGCGGUGAAAUGCGUAGAGAUGUGGAGGAACACCAGUGGCGAAGGCGGCUUUCUGGUCUGUAACUGACGCUGAGGCGCGAAAGCGUGGGGAGCAAACAGGAUUAGAUACCCUGGUAGUCCACGCUGUAAACGAUGAGUGCUAAGUGUUAGGGGGUUUCCGCCCCUUAGUGCUGCAGCUAACGCAUUAAGCACUCCGCCUGGGGAGUACGGCCGCAAAGGCUG